rnacentral:rRNA from 1 species
AAGGCUCCUUCGGGAGUACACGAGCGGCGAACGGGUGAGUAACACGUGAGCAAUCUGCCCUCUACUUCGGGAUAACUCUCGGAAACGAGUGCUAAUACCGGAUAUGACUCCUGCCUGCAUGGGUGGGGGUGGAAAGUUCCGGCGGUAGGGGAUGAGCUCGCGGCCUAUCAGCUUGUUGGUGGGGUAAUGGCCUACCAAGGCUUCGACGGGUAGCCGGCCUGAGAGGGUGACCGGCCACACUGGGACUGAGACACGGCCCAGACUCCUACGGGAGGCAGCAGUGGGGAAUAUUGGACAAUGGGCGAAAGCCUGAUCCAGCAACGCCGCGUGAGGGAUGACGGCCUUCGGGUUGUAAACCUCUUUCAGCGCCGACGAAGCGAAAGUGACGGUAGGCGCAGAAGAAGCACCGGCCAACUACGUGCCAGCAGCCGCGGUAAUACGUAGGGUGCGAGCGUUGUCCGGAAUUAUUGGGCGUAAAGGGCUCGUAGGCGGUUUGUCGCGUCGGGAGUGAAAACUCAGGGCUUAACUCUGAGCUGGCUUCCGAUACGGGCAGACUGGAGGUAUGCAGGGGAGAACGGAAUUCCUGGUGUAGCGGUGAAAUGCGCAGAUAUCAGGAGGAACACCGGUGGCGAAGGCGGUUCUCUGGGCAUUACCUGACGCUGAGGAGCGAAAGUGUGGGGAGCGAACAGGAUUAGAUACCCUGGUAGUCCACACCGUAAAC